UGCAGGCUCAGAUUGCCUUUCUUCAAGGUGAAAGGAAAGGACAAGAAAAUCUGAAGAAGGAUCUAGUGCGAAGGAUCAAAAUGCUGGAAUAUGCACUUAAACAGGAAAGGGCUAAAUAUCACAAAUUAAAAUAUGGCACAGAAUUGAAUCAGGGAGAUAUGAAGCCACCGAACUAUGAUUCUGAUGAAGGGAAUGAGACAGAGAUUCAGCCACAACAGAACAGUCAGCUAAUAUGGAAACAAGGACGACAGCUGCUAAGACAGUA